rnacentral:rRNA from 1 species
GACGAACGCUGGCGGCGUGCUUAACACAUGCAAGUCGAACGCAGUGGCGAACGGGUGAGUAACGCGUAAUCAACCUGCCCUUCAGCGGGGGACAACAGUUGGAAACGACUGCUAAUACCGCAUACUGAAGGCGGGGAUUGCGUCUGAGUAGCUAGUUGGAGGGGUAACGGCCCACCAAGGCGCGGAUCAGUAGCAGGUCUGAGAGGAGGAACGGCCAAAGUGGGACUGAGACACGGCCCAGACUCAUACGGGAGGCAGCAGUGGGGAAUCUUCCGCAAUGGACGAAAGUCUGACGGAGCAACGCCGCGUGAGUGAUGACGGCCUUCGGGUUGUAAAGCUCUGUUAAUCGGGACGCGGUACCGGAAUAGAAAGCCACGGCUAACUACGUGCCAGCAGCCGCGGUAAUAC